UUGAACGCUGGCGGCAGGCCUAACACAUGCAAGUCGAACGGUAACAGGAAGAAGCUUGCUUCUUUGCUGACGAGUGGCGGACGGGUGAGUAAUGUCUGGGAAACUGCCUGAUGGAGGGGGAUAACUACUGGAAACGGUAGCUAAUACCGCAUAACGUCGCAAGACCAAAGAGGGGGACCUUAGGGCCUCUUGCCAUCGGAUGUGCCCAGAUGGGAUUAGCUAGUAGGUGGGGUAAAGGCUCACCUAGGCGACGAUCCCUAGCUGGUCUGAGAGGAUGACCAGCCACACUGGAACUGAGACACGGUCCAGACUCCUACGGGAGGUAGCAGUGGGGAAUAUUGCACAAUGGGCGCAAGCCUGAUGCAGCCAUGCCGCGUGUAUGAAGAAGGCCUUCGGGUUGUAAAGUACUUUCAGCGGGGAGGAAGGUGUUGUGGUUAAUAACCACAGCAAUUGACGUUACCCGCAGAAGAAGCACCGGCUAACUCCGUGCCAGCAGCCGCGGUAAUACGGAGGGUGCAAGCGUUAAUCGGAAUUACUGGGCGUAAAGCGCACGCAGGCGGUCUGUCAAGUCGGAUGUGAAAUCCCCGGGCUCAACCUGGGAACUGCAUUCGAAACUGGCAGGCUUGAGUCUCGUAGAGGGGGGUAGAAUUCCAGGUGUAGCGGUGAAAUGCGUAGAGAUCUGGAGGAAUACCGGUGGCGAAGGCGGCCCCCUGGACGAAGACUGACGCUCAGGUGCGAAAGCGUGGGGGAGCAAACAGGAUUAGAUACCCUGGUAGUCCACGCCGUAAACGAUGUCUAUUUGGAGGUUGUGCCCUUGAGGUGUGGCUUCCGGAGCUAACGCGUUAAAUAGACCGCCUGGGGAGUACGGCCGCAAGGUUAAAACUCAAAUGAAUUGACGGGGGCCCGCACAAGCGGUGGAGCAUGUGGUUUAAUUCGAUGCAACGCGAAGAACCUUACCUGGUCUUGACAUCCACAGAACUUUCCAGAGAUGGAGGGGUGCCUUCGGGAACUGUGAGACAGGUGCUGCAUGGCUGUCGUCAGCUCGUGUUGUGAAAUGUUGGGUUAAGUCCCGCAACGAGCGCAACCCUUAUCCUUUGUUGCCAGCGGUUAGGCCGGGAACUCAAAGGAGACUGCCAGUGAUAAACUGGAGGAAGGUGGGGAUGACGUCAAGUCAUCAUGGCCCUUACGACCAGGGCUACACACGUGCUACAAUGGCGCAUACAAAGAGAAGCGAACUCGCGAGAGCAAGCGGACCUCAUAAAGUGCGUCGUAGUCCGGACUGGAGUCUGCAACUCGACUCCAUGAAGUCGGAAUCGCUAGUAAUCGUGGAUCAGAAUGCCACGGUGAAUACGUUCCCGGGCCUUGUACACACCG
rnacentral:rRNA from 1 species